GACGAACGCUGGCGGCGUGCCUAAUACAUGCAAGUCGAGCGCAGAGGCUUGGUACUUGUGCCACCUGGGUGAGCAGCGGACGGGUGAGUAACGCGUGGGGAACCUGCCUUUGAGCGGGGGACAACAUUUGGAAACGAAAGCUAAUACCGCAUAACAUCUUUAAACACAAGGUUUAAGAGUGAAAGAUGCAAUUGCUUCACUCAAAGAUGAUCCCCCGGUGGAUUAGGUAGUUGGUUAGGAAAAGGGCCACCAAUGGGAAGAUACAUAGCCCGACGGGGAGGGGGGUCGGCCACCUUGGGACUGGGACACCGCCCAAGCGCCUUCGGGAGGGCGCAGUAGGGAAUCUUCGGCAAUGGAGGGAAGUCUUGCCGAGCAACGCCGCGGGAGGUGAGGAGGGUUUCCGGUCGUAAAAACCGGUUUGUAGGGAAGAACGUUGUUGGGAAGGGAAAACGCAUCUAGUGACGGUACCUACCCAGAAAGCGACGGCUAACUACGUG
rnacentral:rRNA from 1 species